GGCGGAAUCUUCCGGACAAUGGACGAAAGUCCUGACUGCGAGCAACUGCCGCGUGAGCUGAUGAAGGCCUUCGGGUCGUAAAGUUCUUUUGUUAGGGAAGAACAAGUACCAUUAUUAACUGCUGGUACCUUGACGGUACCUAACCAAAAAAGCCACGGCUAACUACUUGCCAGCAGCCGCGGUAUUAUAAAAAAA
rnacentral:rRNA from 1 species